ACGCUCGACACCUACGGGGGCAGCAGUUGGGAAUAUUGGACAAUGGAGGAAACUCUGAUCCAGUGACGCCGCGUGAAGGAAGAGGGUCUUCGGAUUGUAAACUUAUUUUGUCAGGGAAGAAAAAAUGACUGUACCUGAAGAAAAAGCACCGGCUAACUACGUGCCCGCAGCCGCCGGUAAUCUGAGCGGGCUGGCAAGGC
rnacentral:rRNA from 1 species